GUGUCAGCCGCCGCGGUAAUACGGGGGGGACGAGCGUUGUUCGGAUUUACUGGGCGUAAAGGGCGCGUAGGCGGACCUUCAAGUCGGAUGUGAAACCCCCGGGCUUAACUCGGGGCCUGCAUUUGAUACUGUCGGUCUUGAGUACAGGAGAGGAGAGUGGAAUUCCAGGUGUAGCGGUGAAAUGCGUAGAUAUCUGGAAGAACACCAGUAGCGAAGGCGGCUCUCUGGACUGAUACUGACGCUCAAGCGCGAAGGCUUGGGGAGCAAACAGGAUUAGAUACCCGCGUAGUCC
rnacentral:rRNA from 1 species